UACAGAGGGUGCAAGCGUUGUUCGGAAUUAUUGGGCGUAAAGCGCGUGUAGGCGGCUUUGCAAGUCGGGUGUGAAAGCCCUCGGCUCAACCGAGGAAGUGCGCCCGAAACUGCAGAGCUUGAGUACCGGAGAGGAUGGCGGAAUUCCCCAAGUAGAGGUGAAAUUCGUAGAUAUGGGGAGGAACACCGGUGGCGAAGGCGGCCAUCUGGACAGCAACUGACGCUGAGACGCGAAAGCGUGGGGAGCAAACAGG
rnacentral:rRNA from 1 species